UACGGGGGGGGUAAGCGUUGUUCGGAAUUACUGGGCGUAAAGGGCUCGUAGGCGGCCAACUAAGUCGGACGUGAAAUCCCUCAGCUUAACUGGGGAACUGCGUCCGAUACUGGAUGGCUUGGAUUUGGGAGAGGGAUGCGGAAUUCCAGGUGUAGCGGUGAAAUGCGUAGAUAUCGAGAGGAACACCUGCGGCGAAGGCGGGUUGCUGGGCUGACACUGACGCUGAACUGCGAAAGCUAGGGGAGCGAACGGG
rnacentral:rRNA from 1 species